rnacentral:ncRNA from 1 species
AGUGGGGGGUUCAUAGACACAAAGGUUUGGUCCUGGCUUUUUUAUUGGUUGUAAGCAGAAUUACACAUGCGAGUAUCCACGAGCCAGUGAGGAUGCCCUUUAUAAUCGAUUCCGAUGAAAAGGAGCGGGGUAUCAAGUUCACACAAAAGAGCUCAUCACACCUUGUAGAACCACGCCCCCGCGGGUAACAGCAGUGAUAAAAAUUAAGCUAUGAACGAAAGUUUGACUUAGUCAUGCAAUACAGUCAGGGUUGGUAAAUCUCGUGCCAGCCACCGCGGUCAUACGAUUAACCCGAAUUAAUAAACAACCGGCGUAAAGAAUGUUUAAGAAUAUAGCAAAACUAAGAUUAAAUCUUGUCUAUGUCGUAAAAAAUUAUAGAUAAGACGAAACUCAAUAAACGCAGGUAAUCUUAUAAUAUCUGAACACAUGACAGCUUGGGCACAAACUGGGAUUAGAUACCCCACUAUGCCAAGCCGUAAACACAAAAUAUUAAUAGAACGAAAAGUUUCGCCAGAGAACUACUAGCCACGGCUAAAAACUCAAAGGACUUGGCGGUGCUUCACACCCACCUAGAGGAGCCUGUUCUGUAAUCGAUAAACCCCGAUAAACCUCACCACUUUUUGCUAAUACAGCCUAUAUACCGCCAUCUUCAGCGAACCUUAACAAAGUAAAAAAGUGAGCACAAUCACAAACAUAAAGACGUUAGGUCAAGGUGUAGCCAAUAAAGUGGAAAGUAAUGGGCUACAUUUUCUUGACAAAGAACAUUUAAACGAAAGCUAUUAUGAAAUUAAAUAGCAUAAGGAGGAUUUAGCAGUAAAUUAAGAAUAGAGAGCUUAGUUGAACAAGGCCAUGAAGCACGCACACACCGCCCGUCACCCUCCUUAAGUAAUAUACGCGUCUACAAUAAUUUUUAAUCAAACGUAAAACAUGAAAGGAGACAAGUCGUAACAAGGUAAGCGUACUGGAAAGUGUGCUUGGAUUA